UGGCGACCGGCGCACGGGUGCGUAACGCGUAUGCAACCUACCUGUAACAGGGGGAUAACACUGAGAAAUCGGUACUAAUACCGCAUAACACUAUGAGAGGCAUCUCUUGUGGUUGAAAGUUUCGGCGGUUACAGAUGGGCAUGCGUUGUAUUAGCUGGUUGGUAAGGUAACGGCUUACCAAGGCGACGAUACAGUAGGGGGACUGAGAGGUUAACCCCCCACAUUGGUACUGAGACACGGACCAAACUCCUACGGAAGGCAGCAG
rnacentral:rRNA from 1 species